AUUUGCAGAACGUGUGUCUGAAUCUUCAGGAAUGCACCAGUCUUCAAGAACUUAACCUGACUGGAAACCCAGUACAGCAGGAAAGCAACUGGAGGUCCUUGCUUUUGGAGAGUGCCUGGCUUGAUUAAGUUGAAUAAUGAGCAGACUGCUGCUGCUGCAGUGCCCCAUAAAUGUCCAGAACAGCAGUGGAGUUUCCAGGCCCUCUGUCAAGCACAGCAAGAGCGACGAGAUUCACUUCUCCAGCAGCAAAAAUUGGAGAACAGUUCUGCGCCCUCACAACAUGACGCCCAGCUUCUUGCCAUUGGCCACCAACCAGACCUGCUCAGAUUUGCAGUGGAUCAGCGUUAUGCCCAUGAAUAUGGCGACAGCUGUGUCACAGAGGAUUCUACACUGGCGGCAGCUGCUAACAGUAGUUCAUGUAGAUAUUCUGAAGCAUCUUUAUCACAGGGACAAAGUCUAGAGAUGCGUGUCCGGGAUACAGCAGAUUGGCAGAAACACAAAAAGACUCAAUUUUCUCAAGCUGACCUUGAGCUACGAUCUGCUGACUGCAUGCAGACACAAAGUGAGAAGGAAACUGUUCAGGCACUGAACCUUAACAUAGCGGCAGCUGUGGCGAUCCAGCGAUGCUGGCGGAGGAGAUGCGUAUUGCAGAGACGUGAGGGCCUCCCAGACUUAAUUGAAAAAACUAACACAAAAUCACAUCUUCAUAAGGUGGAAGAUACCUGCAUUAGGGGGGCCGGAGAGAGAAUGUGCUGCUGUUGUAAUUCAGGUGAGACUCAUUUUUUAGCUCCUUUUACAAAAAAUUCCUCUGUUUACUUUGCUUUUGAUCAAGGAUUGUUUGAUAUAUCUCUAAAAAAAAGGUGUUUUCCAUGCCUCCUUUUAUGA
ensembl:lncRNA